CAUCAACUGGCCUAACCUUCUUUUUGGAUGCUGUUGAAAAACAUGGCUUGCCUUCAAGAGUCAGAGGUGAUCAAGGCGUGGAAAACAUCGAUAUCGCCCGUUUCAUGUUUACUACAAGGGGAGUAGGUCGAGCAAGUUUCAUCUCUGGGAAAAGUGUGCACAAUCAGAGUUGUGAUCUCUUCUACCAGUUGCAUCACUGCCAUCGAGGUAGACCUACUAUUUGUUCUAAAGCCAUACUGAU